AGUCCACUUAAGCCCUGCUUAGUGUUGGGAGUCUACUCGAGAGGAGCUACCCGGGACCUACCCUGCGAGGGGUUGCCCUGUAGCUACCCUGUAGUUCCUCAAAGUCAGCGGCGGAGUCGUUGGUACCCUCUGAGCUUAGUAAUUACUCUCUAGCUUUCGAGUCGCCACGUCCCCUGCCGUUAAACACCCUUCUUCUGAAUGG
rnacentral:misc_RNA from 1 species